rnacentral:rRNA from 1 species
GACAGAGGGUGCAAACGUUGCUCGGAAUUACUGGGCGUAAAGCGCGUGUAGGUGGAUUGGUGUGUCAGGAUGUGAAAUCCCUGGGCUCAACCCAGGAACUGCACCUGAAACUACCAGUCUUGAGUGGUGGAGAGGGAAGUGGAAUUCCUGGUGUAGAGGUGAAAUUCGUAGAUAUCAGGAGGAACACCAGUGGCGAAGGCGGCUUCCUGGACACCAACUGACGCUGAGACGCGAAAGCGUGGGGAGCAAACAGG